GUUCAGUUCCCCUACCGGCGAGGAUGUGCACAGUCCCGAAGCGGCGAUCGAGAAAUGCCAACCAGUGGCAAGGCAGUGGGAAGAGGGAAGCCCUAAUUGAACAAAUUCAAGAGGAUCUAGCCAGGUAGAAGAUACAGGAGCCUGAGGGCACGUACCACCAGACUUAAGGACAGCUUCUACUGCACUGUGAUAAGACUAUUGAACGGUUCCCUUAUACGAUGAGAUGGACUCUGACCUCACGAUCUACCUUGUUGUGACCUUGCACCUUAUUGCACUGCACCUUCUCUGUAGCUGUGACACUUUGUACUGUUACUGUUUUUACCUGUACUACAUCAAUGCACUCUGUACUAACUCAACGUAAAUGCAUUGUGUAAUGAAUUGACCUGUACGAUCGUUAUGCAAAACAAGUUUUUCACUGUGCCUCGGUACAAGUGACAAUAAUAAACCAAUAGUUAGGAGACACAAGAGACUGUGGAUGCAUCAGUCUGGAGCAGCACACAAUCUGCUGGAGGAACUUAGCGGGUCGAGCAGCAUCUGUGGAGGGGGAAAGGAAUUGGUCCUGAUGCAGGGCUUUGACCCAAAACGUGGGCUGUUCCUUUCCCCCCACGGAUGCUGCUCAACCCGCUCAGUUCCUCCAACGGACUGUUUGUUGCUCCAAGUUAGGCGUUGCCUUUUAUUCAAUUCUCCCAGUUUUCAGAUCCUUUUCCUAGUCUCAGCCACCCAUGCCCAUCCUGGUAACUGGUUUAUUAUUGUCAGUGAAAGCAUUUUGUUAGCCUGCCAUCCAGAUCUACCUCCCCAACCUCCACCGAUCCUCCAGACAUCUGUGUUCCUCUGGCCUCUCGAUCCAAUCCCUGUUGUUCCACUGUUGGCCGUGCCUUCAGCUUCCUGAACCUCAAGCUUUGAAAUUCCCUCCCUAAGCC